rnacentral:rRNA from 1 species
GAGUGUAAGACGGGUAACCGUUUGAGCUGACUGGUACUAAUGGGUCGAGGGCUUGACCUAA